CAUUUUUUUUAUAUCAAACGUUUGACCGCCCGUCUUAUUUAAAAAAUUUUAUGAUUAGUAUUUUUUUUUGUUGUUAUUAGAUUAUAAAACAUGAAUAAUACUUUAUGUGUGACUAUUCUUUUUUGAAAAAAUAUAAUUUUUUAAAUAAGACAUAUGGUUAAAAGUUGAAUUCGGAAUAUCACAACUGCACUGAGA
rnacentral:pre_miRNA from 1 species